rnacentral:rRNA from 1 species
AUUGAACGCUGGCGGCAGGCCUAACACAUGCAAGUCGAACGAGUGGCGGACGGGUGAGUAAUGUCUGGGAAACUGCCAGAUGGAGGGGGAUAACUACUGGAAACGGUAGCUAAUACCGCAUACCAUCGGAUGUGCCCAGAUGGGCUUAGCUGGUAGGUGUGGUACCGGCUCACCUCGGCGACGAUCCCUAGCUGGUCUGAGAGGAUGACCAGCUACAUGUGAAGGUAGACAGGUUCCAGACUCCUACGGGAGGCAGCAGUGGGGAAUAUUGCACCAUUGGCGCAAGCCUGAUGCAGCCAUGCCGCGUGUGUGAAGAAGGCCUUCGGGUUGUAAAGCACUUUCAGCGGGGAGGCGUUACCCGCAGAAGAAGCACCGGCUAACUCCGUGCCAGCAGCCGCGGUAAUUC